GGAGCAAACAGGAUUAGAUACCCUGGUAGUCCACGCCCUAAACGAUGUCAACUAGUUGUUGGGGAUUUACUUCCUUGGUAACGUAGCUAACGCGUGAAGUUGACCGCCUGGGGAGUACGGCCGCAAGGCUAAAACUCAAAGGAAUUGACGGGGACCCGCACAAGCGGUGGAUGAUGUGGAUUAAUUCGAUGCAACGCGAACAACCUUACCUACCCUUGACAUGUCCGGAAGCCUGCUGAGAGGCGGGUGUGCCCGAAAGGGAACCGGAACACAGGUGCUGCAUGGCUGUCGUCAGCUCGUGUCGUGAGAUGUUGGGUUAAG
rnacentral:rRNA from 1 species